rnacentral:misc_RNA from 2 species
AACGCACAUUGCGCCCGCCAGUAUUCUGGCGGGCAUGCCUGUUCGAGCGUCAUUUCAACCAUCAAGCCCUGCUUGUGUUGGGGUCCUGCGGCUGCCCGCAGGCCCUGAAAACCAGUGGCGGGCUCGCUAGUCACACCGAGCGCAGUAGCACAUCUCGCUUUGGUCGUGCGGCGGGUUCUUGCCGUAAAACACCCCCCUUUUAUCAAGGUUGACCUCGGAUCAGGUAGGAAUACCCGCUGAACUUAA